rnacentral:rRNA from 1 species
CACCGCGGUUAUACGAGAGGCCCAAGUUGACAGACACCGGCGUAAAGAGUGGUUAAGCUAAAACUUAAACUAAAGCCAAACAUCUUCAAGACUGUUAUACGUACCCGAAGACAGGAAACUCAACCACGAAAGUAGCUUUAUUUAAUCUGACCCCACGAAAGCUACGGUA